AAUUACACCAACAUAAGGUUUCACGGAUUAAUGAAAGGUUUCUCUCUCUUAUCUCUCUAAAAAUCUUUUAGAGAAAGAGACCACUUCCCGUCCGACAUCCUCCGGCUAAGAUAGCGGUAGUUGGUCGGCUUGCUUCUGGCAACGUAUGGUUCCUUACCAACGUCAGCUAGCUUUGUCUCCGGCAUAGGUGGCUUCCAUAGCAUCUGUGGUCGGCUUUGUCUCCAGCAUGGGUGGUUCCUUUAACAUCCUUGGUCGGCUUAGCUUCCGGCAUAGGUUGGCUUCCACAGUGACUAUGGCUGGCUUUGUUUUAGCUCUUUCGCCGUCCAUCUCUCUGGUCUUUCGUUUAGUUUCUUAGAUUUGAAACUGUUUGAAGAAAGCAAGCAGCCUAUAUUUGGUGAAUUAAAAAAUUCCUUGAAGGUUGAAAAGCUGCUAAUUGAAGAUGAAGUUAAAGAAGAUUUUCAGUUUUGCAUUAGUGGAAUCUUAAUCUCAUUAAGCUAAAAUUGGAAUUUUGCCUUAUUCUUUGGGCAAAGAUUGAGAUCGAUCGACAUAAGAAUAUUUCCGGCGAUUUCGGCCGGACUGGAAGCUUUCCGGUGACUUAACUGCCGGUGAUCGAAGAUUCUAACCUCUUCCACUUCCCACGUGUCUUCCAAUUUGUUUUGCAAUAGCCAUGUGUCUUUUGUGCUGUAUCCAAGGUUUCCUUCCAUCUAGGUUUCCUUACUGGGCUUUUGCUUUGUUUUAUUUUAUUUGGGCUUAUGUUCUUAACUGUUUGUAAAAUAUUGGCUAGCCUUUUUGGCUUUGUAAUAUUGUCUGGUGAAAUAAAACACAGUUGAGUAACAAAAAAAAAGGUUUCACGGA